UUGGGGUAGCCCCCAAAAUAUUGGGACAUAUGAAAAAAGACAAUUCUGUUCCGCAGAGUUGCUGUUGACAUUAUAGUUGCGCAGGCACUUUGUUGACUCUAGAGAACCUCAGGCCAAUCGCACAUCCCUGUGACGGCAACUUUGCAUUCGGAUGUCAUCCAUAUCAACUUUCUAUGGCAGUUUCUGCGCCUACCAUGGUGACCACUGGUAACAGGGAAUCAGGGUUCCAUUCCAUACAGGGACCCUGAGAAAUGGCUACCACAUGCAAAGAAGGCAGCAGGCGCGCAAAUGACCCACUCCCGACGCGGGAAGGUAGUGACGA